UUCAGGCAAAUGCAUAUGCUGAGGAGUUUAUGUGGUAGUUCCCACAGUUUGAUCAACAGUUGGUAAAGUAAGGGCAAGAGUUUGAAGAUGUUGAGGAAAAACCAGAAGUUUCCUUGUCAAAAGGUGUGAGGACUCAGUUUAAGGUACACAUGGCAUGGAAGGAGACAAAACAAGGGAGGUUACAAGAGAAGGCUCGGAAAACAGGUCAUCCGGGUGCACAGCUUCAAGGAAAAAGAGCCUUCGAGAAGACAUCCUCGGGGAAUGAACUGAAGAUAGCACAGAUGAAUCUGAAGGGCAAUGAUGUGGACAAUGAAACAAAGGGAGACAAGGUGUCAGGAGAUUCAGGUGCGCUGACGAGCCUCGUAUGAAUUUGAGCAUAUUAGUUGGCAUUAUCAAUGGUACUGCCACAUGGCGUUUUAUCAUUAGUCUUUGUAUGAAAGGGGAUAAUUGAAGCAUUUCUAUUGGCGGAAGGUCUCACCAUUGUAACCUAUAAAUAGUUCAGUUUAGAAAUUUGUAAAGGGAUUCCGAAAAUUUUAGCAAUACAGCAACAAUACAUUGUUUACUUAAAUA